AUGGAGCCGACCUUGAAAUACCACCCUUUAAUGUUUGAUGUUCUAACGUUGACCCGUAAUCCGGGUUGCGGACAGUGUCUGGUGGGUAGUUUGACUGGGGCGGUCUCCUCCUAAAGAGUAACGGAGGAGCACGAAGGUUGGCUAAUCCUGGUCGGACAUCAGGAGGUUAGUGCAAUGGCAUAAGCCAGCUUGACUGCGAGCGUGACGGCGCGAGCAGGUGCGAAAGCAGGUCAUAGUGAUCCGGUGGUUCUGAAUGGAAGGGCCAUCGCUCAACGGAUAAAAGGUACUCCGGGGAUAACAGGCUGAUACCGCCCAAGAGUUCAUAUCGACGGCGGUGUUUGGCACCUCGAUGUCGGCUCAUCACAUCCUGGGGCUGAAGUAGGUCCCAAGGGUAUGGCUGUUCGCCAUUUAAAGUGGUACGCGAGCUGGGUUUAGAACGUCGUGAGACAGUUCGGUCCCUAUCUGCCGUGGGCGCUGGAGAACUGAGGGGGGCUGCUCCUAGUACGAGAGGACCGGAGUGGACGCAUCACUGGUGUUCGGGUUGUCAUGCCAAUGGCACUGCCCGGUAGCUAAAUGCGGAAGAGAU
rnacentral:rRNA from 1 species